GAGAGCCGUAUGCGAUGAAAGUCGCACGUACGGUUCGGAGGGGAGCUUCUGGGCACCUACAGCUCGCAAGAGCAGGGUCCUGGUCGUCUUACCCUAC
rnacentral:ncRNA from 1 species